ACUUCUCCGCUGCGUAGGGYCCUCGCGUGGCGCUUGCCCCUGGGCCCUCGCGCGAGAGAGCAAUCUAAAGGAACCGUGCCAGGCACGGCCCCCAAGCAACACGGCGCGGCUUCCCUCCCCCC
rnacentral:misc_RNA from 1 species